rnacentral:rRNA from 1 species
UACCAGCACCCCAAGUGGUCGGGACGAUUAUUGGGCCUAAAGCAUCCGUAGCCGGUUCUGCAAGUCCCCCGUUAAAUCCAGCUGCUCAACAGAUGGGCCGCGGAGGAUACUACAGAGCUAGGAGGCAGGAGAGGCAAGCGGUACUCGAUGGGUAGGGGUAAAAUCCGUUGAUCCAUUGAAGACCACCAGUGGCGAAGGCGGCUUGCCAGAACGCGCUCGACGGUGAGGGAUGAAAGCUGGGGGAGCAAACCGG